rnacentral:rRNA from 1 species
CGUAGGGUGCAAGCGUUGUCCGGAAUCAUUGGGCGUAAAGAGCUCGUAGGCGGUCUGUCGCGUCUGCUGUGAAAACUCGGGGCUUAACCCCGGGCCUGCAGUGGGGUACGGGCAGACUAGAGUGCGGUAGGGGAGACUGGAAUUCCUGGUGUAGCGGUGAAAUGCGCAGAUAUCAGGAGGAACACCGGUGGCGAAGGCGGGUCUCUGGGCCGUAACUGGACGCUGAGGAGCGAAAGCGUGG